rnacentral:rRNA from 1 species
UACAGAGGUCUCAAGCGUUGUUCGGAUUCAUUGGGCGUAAAGGGUGUGUAGGUGGCGCGCUAAGUCGGGUGUGAAAUUUCGGAGCUUAACUCCGAAACUGCAUUCGAUACUGGCGUGCUUGAGGACUGGAGAGGAGACUGGAAUUCAUGGUGUAGCAGUGAAAUGCGUAGAGAUCAUGAGGAACACCAGUGGCGAAGGCGGGUCUCUGGACAGUUCCUGACACUGAGACACGAAAGCCAGGGGAGCAAACGGG